rnacentral:rRNA from 1 species
CGGAUCCGUAGCGAAAGCGAGUCUGAAUAGGGCGAACAUAGUUAGUUUGAGUAGACGCGAAACCGUGUGAUCUACCCUUGGGCAGGUUGAAGCUUUGUUAACCCAAAGUGGAGGACCGAACCCGUUGACGUUGAAAAGUCUUGGGAUGACCUGAGGGUAGGGGUGAAAGGCCAAUCAAACUCGGAAAUAGCUCGUACUCCCCGAAAUGCUUUUAGGAGCAGCGUAUAGUUAAGUGUAUAAGAGGUAGAGCUACUGGUUGGGCUAGGGGGAGUCACAUCCUACCAAACCCUAUCAAACUCCGAAUGCUUAUACAUGUUUCUAUGCAGUGAGGGUAUGGGUGCUAAGGUCCAUAUCCAAAAGGGAAAGAACCCAGAGCAUCAGCUAAGGUCCCCAAGUGUAUACUAAGUUGAGAAAAUGUGGUGUGAUUGCUUAGACAGCCAGGAUGUUGGCUUGGAAGCAGCCAUUCAUUUAAAGAGUGCGUAACAGCUCACUAGUCGAGCGGUUCGGCAUGGAUAAUAAUCGGGCAUAAACAUACUACCGAAGCUAUGGCAUCUUUAAGAUGGGUAGGGGAGCAUUCUAUAUGUAUUGAAGUUGAGCUGUGAGGCUUGGUGGAACGUAUAGAAAAGAAAAUGUAGGCAUAAGUAACGAUAAUGCGGGCGAGAAACCCGCACACCGAAAGACCAAGGUUUCCUCAGCUAUGCUAAUCAGCUGAGGGUUAGUCAGGACCUAACGCGAACCCGAACGGGGUAGUGGAUGGACAACGGGUUAAUAUUCCCGUACCUGCUCACACUAAAAGUGACGGAUCUCUGGAGUUGCUGCGUACUGACGGAAUAGUACGUUGAAGCA